rnacentral:rRNA from 3 species
GAAACGGUUGCUAAGACUGGAUAGGAAACAAAAAGGCAUCUUUUUGUUUUUAAAAGACCUUCUUAUGAAGGUAUGCUUAAAGAGGGGCUUGCGCCACAUUAGUUAGUUGGUAGGGUAAAAGCCUACCAAGACGAUGAUGUGUAGCUGGACUGAGAGGUUGAACAGCCACAUUGGGACUGAGACACGGCCCAAACUCCUACGGGAGGCAGCAGUAGGGAAUUUUCGGCAAUGGAGGAAACUCUGACCGAGCAACGCCGCGUGAACGAUGAAGUAUUUCGGUAUGUAAAGUUCUUUUAUUGAAGAAGAAAAAGUAGUGGAAAAACUAUAUUGACGUUAUUCAAUGAAUAAGCCCCGGCUAACUAUGUGCCAGCAGCCGCGGUAAGACAUAGGGGGCGAGCGUUAUCCGGAAUUAUUGGGCGUAAAGGGUGCGUAGGCUGUUAGAUAAGUCUAUAAUUUAAUUUCAGUGCUUAACGCUGUCUUGUUAUAGAAACUGUCUUGACUAGAGUGAGAUAGAGGCAAGCGGAAUUCCAUGUGUAGCGGUAAAAUGUGUAAAUAUAUGGAGGAACACCAGAAGCGUAGGCGGCUUGCUGGGUCUUUACUGACGCUGAGGCACGAAAGCGUGGGUAGCAAACAGGAUUAGAUACCCUGGUAGUCCACGCCGUAAACGAUGAGUACUAAGUGUCGGGGUAAAACUCGGUACUGAAGUUAACACAUUAAGUACUCCGCCUGAGUAGUACGUACGCAAGUAUGAAACUUAAAGGAAUUGACGGGACUCCGCACAAGCGGUGGAUCAUGUUGUUUAAUUCGAAGAUACACGAAAAAUCUUACCAGGUCUUGACAUACUCUGCAAAGCUAUAGAAAUAUAGUGGAGGUUAUCAGGGAUACAGGUGGUGCAUGGUUGUCGUCAGUUCGUGUCGUGAGAUGUUAGGUUAAGUCCUAAAACGAGCGCAACCCUUGUCGUUAAUUGCCAGCACGUAAUGGUGGGGACUUUAGCGAGACUGCCAAUUAAACAUUGGAGGAAGGUGAGGAUUACGUCAAAUCAUCAUGCCCCUUAUGAUCUGGGCUACAAACGUGAUACAAUGGCUGUGACAAAGAGUAGCUGAAACGCGAGUUUUUAGCCAAUCUCAAAAAAGCAGUCUCAGUUCGGAUUGAAGUCUGUAACUCGACUUCAUGAAGUUGGAAUCGCUAGUAAUCGCGAAUCAGCAUGUCGCGGUGAAUACGUUCUCGGGGUUUGUACACACCGCCCGUCA